rnacentral:lncRNA from 1 species
CUGUUGUGAUCACCAAAGCAACACUAUCCGUUUAGGUGCUGGAUUAGAAUCCAGGCGAGUCCGCAGUAUAGUCUUUACACUUCAUCAACUUCCACACAGGACAUAAAUUGCACUAAUAUAGUAAUAUACUGAAAUCUCAGACCAACUGUUUGUCAUCGGAUUAGAAUGUGAUGACACAGAAUAAAGAUGUGAGACAGAAUCUGUGCUGAGGUCUAAAUUCACAUUGGAAGUCUGGAAAGAGAAGACUGUUUAUAAAAUUAUAGCCCAGGAAUUGCUGCCAAAGUCGGCCUUUGGUGCAGCUGUAAGUCGGAUGGAAUCCACCUUCCUGACGUCAGACCCACCCACUGGAACACUGCUCCUCUGACUGGGGCUUCCCUGAGUGGAAACUACAUGUCAUACUUCAAAAGGUAAGGAACCCAGUAAGAAAGACAGAGAGAAGUAUGGACAAAAAACAGAUCCUAAACCUGUUUUGUUUUAUUUUUGGUAGUAGUUGUUUAUUUUUGAAAACAUUCAAACCACCUGUAUUGGUGGCUAUUAUUAUGAAAUAAAUAAACUGAGAAACAACAAGACAAUUUGGCCUCUACAAUUCGUUUAGUUUUGACUAUAUAUUUGCCUUGGAAGAAGUAUGUGUACAAUAUUCAUUUUAAAAGAUACAACAGUCACCUCGUUACUUGGAGUUUUACUUGAGGCUUGAAUGAGACUGAAACCACCUGGACACCACUAGAAGAUAUAUCAAGGAAAAGAAAGGCAACAUAUUGAAUCUCUUGGGAGAAACUCAUCCUGUAUCUGCUCGAUUGAAAACAUGAGGGUGCACAUUCCAAGCUGCAUAUGCUCAGGUCCGAGUUUCCAAGGAAACAAAGGACUGCUCAUUUAUCUGCAAAACUGAACUGACGAGUCAGUUUCAACUUGUUACAAACCUUGAUUCUGAAUCAAAUUCCAGUGUGCAGUCUAAAAA